rnacentral:rRNA from 1 species
UACGGAAGGCAGCAGUGGGGAAUAUUGCACAAUGGGCGCAAGCCUGAUGCAGCCAUGCCGCGUGUAUGAAAAAGGCCUUCGGGUUGUAAAGUACUUUCAGUCGUGAGGAAGGUGUUAAGGUUAAUAACCUUAGCAAUUGACGUUAGCGACAGAAGAAGCACCGGCUAACUCCGUGCCAGCAGCCGCGGUAAUACGGAGGGUGCGAGCGUUAAUCGGAAUUACUGGGCGUAAAGGGCACGCAGGCGGUUAAUUAAGUUGGAUGUGAAAUCCCCGGGCUUAACCUGGGAAUGGCAUUCAAGACUGGUUAGCUAGAGUCUUGUAGAGGGGGUAGAAUUCCAUGUGUAGCGGUGAAAUGCGUAGAGAUGUGGAGGAAUACCGGUGGCGAAGGCGGCCCCUGGACAAAGACUGACGCUCAUGUGCGAAAGCUGGGGAGCAAACGAGGGAUUAGAUACCCGU